rnacentral:precursor_RNA from 12 species
AAAAGUGCUGACUGAAUGCGAUGUGUGCAUUGCAUUGCGACGGGUUACAUCACUAGUCCUAACAUGAUGUAACCCAACGCAGCAUGAUGUAAGCGUCGUGAUACAUUGGAGAUUUAAA